GCAACCUCAAGCUGGCGGGCGAAUACCCCAGCGUGUUCCGCUCGCUGCUGGGCAUCUCGUGGAUGUGGUUCUUUGGCGCGGUCUUUCUGGCGCAGUUCCCUUCCUUUGCGCGUGAUGUGCUG
rnacentral:ncRNA from 1 species